AACGUAGGGUGCAAGCGUUGUUCGGAUUUACUGGGCGUAAAGCGCGCGCAGGUGGGUGUACAAGUCGGGAGUGAAGUCCCAGGGCUCAACCCUGGGGCUGCUCCCGAAACUGUACGCCUAGGGACUGGUAGAGGCUGGUAGAAUUCCCCGUGUAGCGGUGGAAUGCGUAGAGAUCGGGAAGAAUACCCGUGGCGAAGGCGGCCAGCUGGGCCAGGUCCGACACUGAGGCGCGAAAGCGUGGGGAGCAAACGGG
rnacentral:rRNA from 1 species